rnacentral:lncRNA from 1 species
CAGUGUCGCUCUUGCAAUAUAUUAUCACAUCAAAAACAGAAAUCCGAAGUGCCACCAGAUUAUGACAAACACAACCCAGAGCAGAAGCAGAUUUACCGGUUCGUUCGGACACUGUUCAGUGCUGCUCAGCUGACGGCUGAAUGUGCCAUCGUCACCCUGGUGUACCUUGAAAGACUUUUAACAUACGCAGAGAUAGAUAUCUGUCCGGCCAACUGGAAGCGGAUUGUUUUAGGGGCGAUCCUGCUGGCCUCCAAGGUGUGGGAUGACCAGGCUGUAUGGAAUGUGGAUUACUGCCAGAUCCUGAAAGACAUCACGGUGGAGGACAUGAACGAGCUAGAGCGACAGUUUCUUGAAUUGCUGCAGUUCAACAUCAAUGUUCCUUCCAGUGUCUAUGCCAAGUAUUAUUUUGAUCUUCGUUCUCUGGCAGAAGCG